rnacentral:lncRNA from 1 species
GCGGAAGUGGAGCUACCGCCACCGCCGCCGCCGAUUCCGGAGCCGGGGUAGUCGCCGCCGCCGCCGCCGCUGCAGCCACUGCAGGCACCGCUGCCGCCGCCUGAGUAGUGGGCUUAGGAAGGAAGAGGUCAUCUCGCUCGGAGCUUCGCUCGGAAGGGUCUUUGUUCCCUGCAGCCCUCCCACGGCAUUUGAUGAAGCAAUUGCUGAAUUGGAUACGCUGAAUGAAGAGUCUUAUAAAGACAGCACUCUGAUCAUGCAGUUACUUAGGGACAAUCUCACUCUGUGGACAUCGGAAAACCAGGGAGACGAAGGAGACGCUGGGGAGGGAGAGAACUAAUGUUUCUCGUGCUUUGUGAUCUGUUCAGUGUCACUCUGUACCCUCAACAUAUAUCCCUUGUGCGAUAAAAAAAAAAAAAAAAAAAAAAAGAGAAUCGUACGUCGACUUUCGAUUUUUCACAGCCUCAGCCUAGGAAAAAUGGUUCAUGGGAUAAACAGCUGGUAUUUGUAUCUAAAACUCAGAUUGGUCACAUAAAUGCCACGGCAUUCCGAAGUUUUGAUUUUGAUUAACAUUGACAGGAUUACUGUGUGUUUAAUUUUUUAAAAACUGAACACUGUGAUUAUGGGGUUUUGUAAUUUAGCAGAACUCUUACUGGUAGAAAAAAUAGACCUGAAUUAUGUGUAACUUUUUGGAAGGUUUAAUCUGAUAUCAAAAUAAUCAUUGAAAUACAAUUCCAUUGUAAAGUUGUACAGAAAGUUAUAGAGAUUAUAUUGUGAUGCUGGAACUUGGAGUGAGACACACAUCAUUUGGCAUUUGAGUUGAAUGGUAAUUCACAGUAAUGCUGCCGUUGUUCGGGACUUAAAGACACUUGACCUGUUUGGGCUGUUGCCACUUAAAAGUUCAUGACCACAAAUGUCCACAGUGUCUUCCUCUGAGGAAACUCGAAUCCUGAAAUGGAAAUUCUUUGUGGCAGAUAACUGGCUUAUGACACCUUGAAAAGUUCAAGUGCUCAUAUAACACACCACACUGAACCCCCUUUCCUACAGCAAUAUGUUCACUAUGUUACCAAUUUGCAACUUGUGCUUCAAUAGUGGAAUCUACUUUCAUUGUUAACACUGAGCUAAAGAAAAAAAGCCGUGUGUUUUAUGAAUGACCUUAUCUGUUUCCUGGAUAAUACCUUUAAGAAUAAUGUCCUGAGUCAGGCGUGGUGGUGCGUGCAUCUAGUCCCAACUAUUUGGGAGGCUGAGGCAGGAGGAUCGCUUGAGCCCAGGAGUUUAAAGCUGCAGUGCCCUGUGGUUGCACCUGUGAAUAACUGCACUCCAGCCUGGGCAACAUAGCGAGACCUCAUCUCCAAAAAAGAAAACAAAAAACAAAAAAAGGAAUGAUGUUCUGUAGAGAUGGCCUUUCACUUGAGGAGUACUCAGUUUUCAGGUUCUUCCUAGCUCGGGGCUUUUAAAUUUUGAAAUCUAAACAUUCUUUCCCACCAUCCUUUUUGACUGUUGACCUUGGUUUUCUCUUCUAAGUUUCUGUCCCUCUGCUUCCUUACUUUUUUUCCUUUUUGAAUUCUAUCUUUAUCUGUCUUUUGUUCACUUUUUAAUGCUAUAUAUGGGCAGGGGUGAGAGACAUUACUGAGCACCUUGGUGAGCAAGCCUGGCUUUAAAGAUUGGAGAAGAGCUUCUGGCACCAGAACCCUGUCUUCCUCCAGUUCUCAACACGGUGUUGCUCUUCAGUCAUACCGGAAUCUGAAUCAAAAAAGUAUUUUUAAAUAUCCAUGAUUUCUCCCUGUAUUGAGGCUAGCCCUGAUCAUGCUUUUUGUGCCUGUCACCAGGUCUCCCAAGUGCACUCAUCCAGGUCAGUGCUCAGAUGUGUUUAAGGAGACCCUAUAUUCAGGGAAGUUGCGUGAACACUGCAGUGGGGAGAAUUGAGAAUAGUCAGGCCUAUCAGUCUCACAGAAUCACCCCUCUACCUUUGAUAUUCCACUUAGCUGUAGAGUCCAUCUGUUUGUCCAUCUGCUGAAAUGAGAAAAGAAAAAUUUAUGCACUGAUUUAAAACAAACCAAAAAAAAAGAAAAAAACAAAAAAAAAAAUCCCUCCUUUCUAGCUGAACAAAAAUGUGCAGUUAAUACUUGGCGCUUGAAAAUGCAGUAGUGAAUGUGGAACCAAGCCUGUCUGUAUAUCUGGUAGCUCUUUUCUUGCUUUGUUUUUUCUUACCAGUAUUCUGCCUAACGUUUGCUUCUGUGAUGGUUAUAUUGCCUAGCAAGCACACCCGUGGUUGUGAAAAUAGUAUAGCAAAAAAGAAAAAUCCCCGGUUAUUGAUGUACUAGAUUUGUGUAUGUCUUUUAAACAGUUCUAGUUUCACCUUACACAGAAUAAUCAGGAAAAGUGUAAAAAUUCAAAAGUGAAAUAAAAAUUUUAUCAGUU